AGUGAACGCUGGCGGUAGGCCUAACACAUGCAAGUCGAACGGCAGCACAGUAAGAGCUUGCUCUUACGGGUGGCGAGUGGCGGACGGGUGAGGAAUACAUCGGAAUCUACUUUUUCGUGGGGGAUAACGUAGGGAAACUUACGCUAAUACCGCAUACGACCUACGGGUGAAAGCAGGGGAUCUUCGGACCUUGCGCGAUUGAAUGAGCCGAUGUCGGAUUAGCUAGUUGGCGGGGUAAAGGCCCACCAAGGCGACGAUCCGUAGCUGGUCUGAGAGGAUGAUGAGACACACUGGAACUGAGACACGGUCCAGACUCCUACGGGAGGCAGCAGUGGGGAAUAUUGGACAAUGGGCGCAAGCCUGAUCCAGCCAUACCGCGUGGGUGAAGAAGGCCUUCGGGUUGUAAAGCCCUUUUGUUGGGAAAGAAAAGCAGCAGGUUAAUACCCCGCUGUUCUGACGGUACCCAAAGAAUAAGCACCGGCUAACUUCGUG
rnacentral:rRNA from 1 species